rnacentral:rRNA from 1 species
UAACACGUGGACAAUCUGCCCCCCGGUCCGGGAUAGCCCAGGGAAACCUGGAUUAAUACCGGAUGAGACGGGACCCGCGGAGGCGGGAUCCGGGAAAGGCGCUGCGGCGCCGCCGGGGGAUGAGUCUGCGUCCCAUUAGCUAGACGGCGGGGUAACGGCCCACCGUGGCGACGAUGGGUAGCCGGCCUGAGAGGGUGGACGGCCACAUUGGAACUGAGACACGGUCCAGACUCCUACGGGAGGCAGCAGCUAAGAAUCUUCCGCAAUGGGCGAAAGCCUGACGGAGCGACGCCGCGUGAACGAAGAAGGCCGUGAGGUUGUAAAGUUCUUUUCGGGAGGGGGAACAACCGUGGCAGGGAAUGGCCGCGGGAUGACGUGAAUCCCGGAAUAAGCCCCGGCUAACUACGUGCCAGCAGCCGCGGUAACACGUAGGGGGCGAGCGUUGUUCGGAAUCAUUGGGCGUAAAGGGCGUGCAGGCGGUCCUGCAAGUCCGGCGUGAAAGACCCCGGCCCAACC